GUUCUGCCUAACUUUCCAUAGAAACCAGUGAGAGCCCUUCAAGGACUACUGUGUCCCAAAGGAGAAACCUUUCCCUCAGAAUUUCUAGAGCUGGAAGAACUUCUAACUCCUGAAUCGUCGUGCCUGGAUGCAUGUGACAGUGCCCAAUGAUGGUAGGAAGCUGGUCCAUGGUAAGAAAUCUACAGCCCAGGACCUCAGGCUGUUUCCAUUUCAGCCUCUGUAUACUGUUAAUUUACUUUUGUUGGGAAGACAAUUUGUUCUGUUGCCAGAGAAUUUUCUAAUGUCCUGCCACCAAGAUCUGCACACAACAGAAUGCUUUAGAAGAUCAACACACACACACACACACACACACAGAGAGAGAGAGAGAGAGAGAGAGAGAGAGAGAGAGAGAGAGCUCCUCUCUGAAAGGGAUAAGAGAUAGUAGAGUUUCUGUUUGAAGCAGCGGAGAGAGAAACACUGACAAACCCAAUCAAUGAGCCACUGUGAAGGACCAGUGUCAGCAGAAGAGGAGUGUGAGGUGCCCAGCAAAGGGGAAGGAAGAGCUGUGGCUGUGGCCAGGCCUAGGCGUCACUCCAGAGUGUAGCACUGCCCUACAGGCGGUCAAUGCUCCCCUGCAUAAAGACCACACCUUACUCAUUCUCUGUCCUCCAUCCAUUGCAGCACCGCGAACAUGCUCAGUGUUUGCCAGAUGGUUUGUUGCUCUGUAAUGCAGGGAGUGAGCUAAGAGACCAGAAGAAACAAAGCACAGGAGACUGUACACUGCCCUCUAUCAGUGUGGUACAUUGUGCAUUCAUUAUAUAAAUGAGAAGAUUAAUGCAGACAAUUGUACAACUGGCUCAUCCACUCAUCCACACCUACACAUUUUGUGUGACUCUCCAACACCCCUGUGUCUAUUCACCAGAAGGUUUCUGCUACCAGCUGAGCUGACUGGACCUGGCUGGGGAUUUCAGAGAUGACAAAUUACAGAGGAAAGGGAGACUCUUCCAAUGAUGUGAACAUGGCCAUCAGGAAGUUGCCUCUACAGAGUCCUCCAGGGACUCACACCACUCACUGGAAAUCAGGCUUUUACUCCAACAGCAGAUGGGUGUGGAGCUGGAGCUGUGGGCUCCCUGGAGUUACUCUUCUCCUGCAAUCUAAGCAGAGCCUCCCCAAGGAGACUCUCAACAUCUGUUCAUGCCCUGCCUCCCAAGUUAGGAGCAGCUUGCUUGUGAUCCGAGCCUCCUACAGGGAGAUGACUGCACUGAUGGUGCUACAAUCGGAAGUGACCAUAUGUGCCACCAUCUUGCAGCCAUCUGUGGCCAAAAGCAAUAGCACCUUGACCAGACCCAAGGAUUAGACUUCUGGCCAGCUGCUUGGAUUCAACCAAAUGAAUCCUCCCCUGACCUUCAGGACAUCUACAGACCAUUUGUGUGCAGGGCCACUCUGCAUGUGGAGGUAGUCCCCAACCCCACCUCCAGAUUUCCUGCAGUCAGUCUGGCUGUCCCCAAGAAACCCGAUUCUCCUGAGCCCAGCAAUGGUGCCUACACAGGGCCAUUUCCUGCCCUUCUUGUUUUCACAUGCAUCUGGACAAUGCUCAGACUCUUGGGUCAUCGGAGUACGGGAAAGGGAGACACUGGGUGCAUGGUUCUGCCUACACACCCCUAUUUCUUAGUAUGAAAACUCUAUAAACAUGAUCUAGAGUCUUGUAGCUUCACACGAGUAACUGCACUAACAAAAGACAUGUGGACUGGAUUAUCUCUACACUGGCUAUCACCACCGCUACCCUCUUGGUUUUACACCAGCCUUUCCAAAGCCAGACACAUAUACAUAACUCAUCAGCAUGCUGUUCUGACAUGGACUGUCUACAAGAGUGUACCAUGAACUGCCCUUGCGUCAUAACAAUUUUCAUGUGCACUUAAAUCAAGGUUAGACACACCAAUGGGAUGAACACUUCUGUGCUACAAAUGCUGUUAUAAAGUUUUAUAAAUAAGCUUGAG
rnacentral:lncRNA from 1 species